AGAGUUUGAUCCUGGCUCAGAUUGAACGCUGGCGGCAUGCCUUACACAUGCAAGUCGAACGGCAGCACGGGAGCAAUCCUGGUGGCGAGUGGCGAACGGGUGAGUAAUAUAUCGGAACGUGCCCAGUCGUGGGGGAUAACGUAGCGAAAGCUACGCUAAUACCGCAUACGAUCUACGGAUGAAAGCGGGGGACUCGUAAGGGCCUCGCGCGAUUGGAGCGGCCGAUAUCAGAUUAGGUUGUUGGUGAGGUAAAAGCUCACCAAGCCUGCGAUCUGUAGCUGGUCUGAGAGGACGACCAGCCACACUGGAACUGAGACACGGUCCAGACUCCUACGGGAGGCAGCAGUGGGGAAUUUUGGACAAUGGACGCAAGUCUGAUCCAGCAAUGCCGCGUGCAGGACGAAGGCCUUCGGGUUGUAAACUGCUUUUGUACGGAACGAAACGGUCUGCUUUAAUACAGCGGGCUAAUGACGGUACCGUAAGAAGAGAC
rnacentral:rRNA from 1 species